rnacentral:tRNA from 1 species
GGCCGGUUAGCUCAGUCAGUUGAGCAUGGCGCUAACAAUGCCAAGGACACGGGUUUGAUUCCAGUUCGGCCC